rnacentral:rRNA from 1 species
AUUGAACGCUGGCGGCAGGCCUAAAACAUGCAAGUCGAACGAGUGGCGGACGGGUGAGUAAUGUCUGGGAAACUGCCUGAUGGAGGGGGCUAACUCCUGGAAACGGUAGCUAAUACCGCAUACCAUCGGAUGUGCCCAUGUGGGAUUAGCUAGUGGGUGGGGUAAAGGCGCACCUAGGCGACGAUACCUAGCUGGUCUGAGAGGCUGAACAGCCACACUGGAACUGAGACACGGCCCAGACUCCUACGGGAGGCAGCAGUGGGGAAUAUUGCACAAUGGGCGCAAGCCUGAUGCAGCCAUGCCGCGUGUAUGAAGAAGGCCUUCGGGUUGUAAAGUACUUUCAGUGGGGAGGCGGUACCCGCAGAAGAAGCACCGGCUAACUACGUGCCAGCAGCCGCGGUAAUUC